rnacentral:misc_RNA from 1 species
GAAAAUUAGAAAUCGGUCUUAACGUUUGUACAGAGUUUAGAAUCAAACUUGGAAUUGCACGACCACUCCAAUAUAGAGAAGGAUCCUCACUAGCAGUUGCAGCAAAAACGAACUCCAAAUCUCCCAAAUUUACCAGGAAAGAUCCAAUAUGAUAACUAAUGGAGUCGAAGACGAAGAGAAGUGGCUUGCCGCUGGGAUCGCCGGCCUUCAGCAGAACGCAUUUUACAUGCAUCGCGCUCUUGACUCGAACAAUCUGAAAGAUGCAUUGAAAUACUCGGCUCAGAUGCUCUCGGAGCUCCGAACUUCCAAGCUUUCUCCUCACAAAUACUAUGAACUAUAUAUGCGCGC